AAAAAAUAUAUAUAUAUAUAUAUAUACCACAGUACAAUCACAUCUGUAUGAACGGUUAACAGGAUGUUGUUCAGAGAAAGAGGAAGGACCUUGCGAGUGCUUUAGGUGUGUUCCUGUAGUAGCAGUUUGGAAAGGAGGACCAGUACCAGGCCUGGCGUAAACACUGCUGCAGUAGUAUACCCGCUCUCUUGAUGCUCCGGCUACAAACAGCUAAGCUAAGUAGAAUUAGUCUCGGGAGUAGCGUAUCGUAGUUCCCAAUGCCAGCUUUCAGGCCGAGUCUAUGCGCCUGGUCAAUGUAGUGUGACAACAUCCCACUAUACCUAAAGAUCCUGCAGACAGUCACCGGAGCAUUUCAUAAUAGCAUCUACCAAAUGGAAUAUAUUAUCCAAAGCAUUUCUAAUGGUUGACUGGGUGGGAUUUGACUUGUUGUGGUUGGUGCUGCCUUGCUCUGUCUCUGGCAUGGCCGCUCCAUGGUGGCAGAAGCGUAUUCUGGCUCCGUACAUCUGUCUCUGUAGCAGCAGUCCUUGAAGUAGUUAUUUGUGACGGGUAAACGCUGCUUUGUGAGUGUUGUGCAGAAGGGUCCAGGUUCGAGCCCAGUGAUGGGCCUGGACGAGGCCUACUCUGUUACGCCGGGGGUAGUUUACUCUGGGUAGCCCUAGUCACGCUGGGGGUAGUUUACUCUGGGUAGCCCUAGUCACGCUGGGGGUAGUUUACUCUGGGUAGCCCUAUCACGCUGGGGGUAGUUUACUCUGGGCAGCCCUAGUCACGCUGGGGGUAGUUUACUCUGGGCAGCCCUAGUCACGCUGGGGGUAGUUUACUCUGGGCAGCCCUAGUCACGCUGGGGGUAGUUUA
ensembl:lncRNA